rnacentral:rRNA from 1 species
CGAAAGCCUGACGGAGCAAUACCGCGUGAGGGAAGAAGGCUUUUGGGUUGUAAACCUCUUUUGUCAGGGAAGAAGAAUUGACGGUACCUGAAGAAAAAGCAUCGGCUAACUCCGUGCCAGCAGCCGCGGUAAUACGGAGGAUGCAAGCGUUAUCCGGAAUCAUUGGGCGUAAAGGGUCCGCAGGUGGCGAAUAAAGUCUGCUGUUAAAGACCGGGGCUUAACUCCGGAAAGGCAGUGGAAACUGAUUAGCUAGAGUACGGUAGGGGUAGAGGGAAUUCCCAGUGUAGCGGUGAAAUGCGUAGAUAUUGGGAAGAACACCGGUGGCGAAAGCGCUCUACUAGGCCGAAACUGACACUGAGGGACGAAAGCUAGGGUAGCGAAAGGGAUUAGAUACCCCUGUAGUCUUAGCGGUAAACGAUGGAUACUAGGUGUAGCUUGUAUCGACCCGAGCUGUGCCGAAGCUAACGCGAUAAGUAUCCCGCCUGGGGAGUACGCACGCAAGUGUGAAACUCAAAGGAAUUGACGGGGGCCCGCACAAGCGGUGGAGUAUGUGGUUUAAUUCGAUGCAACGCGAAGAACCUUACCAGGGCUUGACAUGUCGCGAAUCUAGCGGAAACGUUAGAGUGCCUUAGGGAAUGCGAACACAGGUGGUGCAUGGCUGUCGUCAGCUCGUGUCGUGAGAUGUUGGGUUAAGUCCCGCAACGAGCGCAACCCUCGUCCUUAGUUGCCAAUAUUAAGUUAGGCACUCUAGGGAGACUGCCGGGGACAACUCGGAGGAAGGUGGGGAUGACGUCAAGUCAGCAUGCCCCUUACGUCCUGGGCGACACACGUACUACAAUGGUUGGGACAAAGGGCAGCAAGCUCGCGAGAGUAAGCGAAUCUCAUCAAACCCAGCCACAGUUCAGAUUGCAGGCUGCAACUCGCCUGCAUGAAGUAGGAAUCGCUAGUAAUCGCAGGUCAGCAUACUGCGGUGAAUUCGUUCCCGGGCCUUGUACACACCGCCCGUCACACCAUGGAAGCUGGCUACGCCCGAAGUCGUUACCCUAACCCGGUUUUGGGAGGGGGAUGCCGAAGGUAGAGCUAGUGACUGGGGUGAAGUCGUAACAAGGUAGCCGUACCGGAAGGUGUGGCUGGAUCACCUCCUUU